AUACAGAGGGUGCGAGCGUUAAUCGGAAUUACUGGGCGUAAAGCGCGCGUAGGCGGCUUAUUAAGUCAGAUGUGAAAUCCCCGGGCUCAACCUGGGAACUGCAUCUGAUACUGGUAAGCUAGAGUUUUGGAGAGGGAAGUAGAAUUUCAGGUGUAGCGGUGAAAUGCAUAGAGAUCUGAAGGAAUACAAGUGGCGAAGGCGACUUCCUGGCCAAAAACUGACGCUGAGGUGCGAAAGCGUGGGUAGCAAACGGGAUUAGAAACCCUAGUAGUCC
rnacentral:rRNA from 1 species